GACGAACGCUGGCGGCGUGCUUAACACACGCAAGUCGAACGGAAAGGCCCUGCUUGCAGGGUGCUCGAGUGGCGAACGGGUGAGUAACACGUGGGUGAUCUGCCCCUUACUUUGGGAUAAGCCUGGGAAACUGGGUCUAAUACUGGAUAGGACCAUGCUGUAGGUGGUGUGGUGGAAAGAUUAGUUUCGGUGAGGGAUGAGCUCGCGGCCUAUCAGCUUGUUGGUGGGGUAAUGGCCUACCAAGGCGUCGACGGGUAGCCGGCCUGAGAGGGUGGACGGCCACAUUGGGACUGAGAUACGGCCCAGACGCCUACGGGAGGCAGCAGUGGGGAAUAUUGCACAAUGGGCGCAAGCCGGAUGCAGCGACGCCGCGUGGGGGAUGACGGCCUUCGGGUUGUAAACUCCUUUCAGCCAUGACGAAGCCCUUGUGGUGACGGCAGUGGUAGAAGAAGCACCGGCUAACUACGUG
rnacentral:rRNA from 1 species